CAUGAAGCUGGAUUCGCUAGUAAUCGCGCAUCAGCCACGGCGCGGUGAAUACGUUCCCGGGCCUUGUACACACCGCCCGUCAAGCCAUGGAAGCCGGGGGUGCCUGAAGUGCGCUGCCGCAAGGAGCGUCCUAGGGUAAAACCGGUGACUGGGGCUAAGUCGUAACAAGGUAAC
rnacentral:rRNA from 1 species